CGAAAGCCUGACGGAGCAACGCCGCGUGAGGGAUGAAGGCCUCUGGGCUGUAAACCUCUUUUAUCAAGGAAGAAGAUCUGACGGUACUUGAUGAAUAAGCCACGGCUAAUUCCGUGCCAGCAGCCGCGGUAAUACGGGAGUGGCAAGCGUUAUCCGGAAUUAUUGGGCGUAAAGCGUCCGCAGGCGGUUCUGUAAGUCUGCCGUUAAAGCGUGGAGCUUAACUCCAUUUCGGCGGUGGAAACUGCAGGACUUGAGUGUGGUAGGGGCAGAGGGAAUUCCCGGUGUAGCGGUGAAAUGCGUAGAUAUCGGGAAGAACACCAGUGGCGAAAGCGCUCUGCUGGGCCAUAACUGACGCUCAUGGACGAAAGCCAGGGGAGCG
rnacentral:rRNA from 1 species